rnacentral:rRNA from 1 species
ACAGAGGGUGCGAGCGUUGUCUGGAAUCACUGGGCGUAAAGGGCGCGUAGGCGGUCUGGUAAGCGUGUGGUGAAAGCUCGGGGCUCAACCCCGAGUCGGCCGUGCGAACUGCUGGACUGGAGCAUGUCAGAGGCAGGCGGAAUUCCGGGUGUAGCGGUGGAAUGCGUAGAGAUCCGGAAGAACACCGGUGGCGAAGGCGGCCUGCUGGGACAUUGCUGACGCUGAGGCGCGACAGCGUGGGGAGCGAACAGGA